rnacentral:rRNA from 1 species
AUUCCAGCUCCAAUAGCGUAUAUUAAAGUUGUUGUGGUUAAAAAGCUCGUAGUUGGAUCUCGGCGGUCUGAGGGCGGUUCGCUUCAGAGCGCUACUGCCCUAUAGACCGUAGUUUUGCCAGAGGUCUCAGGGUGCUCUUAACCGAGUGUCUUGCGAUGCUGGCAGGUUUACUUUGAAAAAAUUAGAGUGCUCAAAGCAGGCUUUUACGCCUGAAUAUUCGUGCAUGGAAUAAUAGAAUAGGAAGUCGUUCCUAUUUUGUUGGUUUUCGGAAAUCGACUUAAUGAUUAAUAGGGACAGUCGGGGGCAUUUGUAUUCAAACGACAGAGGUGAAAUUCUUGGAUUUAUGGAAGACGAACUACUGCGAAAGUAUUUACCAAGGAUGUUUUCAUCA